AUUGAACGCUGGCGGCAGGCCUAACACAUGCAAGUCGAACGGAGUGGCGAACGGGUGAGUAAUGUAUCGGAACGUGCCCAGUAGCGGGGGAUAACUACGCGAAAGCGUAGCUAAUACCGCAUACUAUUGGAGCGGCCGAUAUGGGAUUGGCUAGUUGGUGGGGUAACGGCGAACCAAGGCGACGAUCCGUAGCUGGGUUGAGCGGACGACCAGCCACACUGGGACUGAGACACGGCCCAGACUCCUACGGGAGGCAGCAGUGGGGAAUGUUGGAAAAUGGGGGAAACCCUGAUCCAGCCAUCCCGCGUGUGCGAUGAAGGCCUUCGGGUUGUAAAGCACUUUUGGCAGGAAAGCGGUACCUGCAGAAUAAGCACCGGCUAACUACGUGCCAGCAGCCGCGGUAAUUC
rnacentral:rRNA from 1 species